UACGAAGGGGGCUAGCGUUGCUCGGAAUCACUGGGCGUAAAGGGUGCGUAGGCGGGUCUUUAAGUCAGGGGUGAAAUCCUGGAGCUCAACUCCAGAACUGCCUUUGAUACUGAAGAUCUUGAGUUCGGGAGAGGUGAGUGGAACUGCGAGUGUAGAGGUGAAAUUCGUAGAUAUUCGCAAGAACACCAGUGGCGAAGGCGGACUC
rnacentral:rRNA from 1 species